CAACCUCUCGACUGUCCCACUGGAGAAUUUUCAGUAUUUUCCAGUUGAGUAGACAAAAAAAGGACACCCAAGGCCAACAGACCCAGCUCCAGCCCGCCCUGAUGCUCAUCCUUGCACUGCCUGGGACACCUAAGGCCAACAGGCGCAGCUCCUGUUCUCUUUUUGCCA